rnacentral:rRNA from 1 species
UACGUAGGGGGCAAGCGUUGUCCGAAGUUACUGGGCGUAAAGCGCGCGUAGGCGGUCUUUUAAGUCUGGUGUGAAAGGUUCAGGGCUCAACCCGAACAGUGCACUGGAUACUGGGAGACUUGAGUAUGGGAGAGGAGAGCGGAAUUCCUGGUGUAGCGGUGAAAUGCGUAGAUAUCAGGAGGAACACCGAUGGCGAAGGCAGCCCCCUGGGCUAACACUGACGCUCAUGCACGAAAGCGUGGGGAGCAAACAGG